UGCCUCCAUCCUUGCUACCCUCCCAGUUUACCUUUCCCUGUUGCUUCAUGACCUGGGUUAUGAGUAACUAAAUCCACUUUCCCUUCUUCCCCUUUUCUUCCCCUCUCUCCUCCCUGAUGAAGGAACAAGGCUCGGAAAGCUAGGAAUGUAAAUUUUCUGUUCUGUUUUGUGUUAUAUAUCGGCUGUACUGAGCUAAGUACUGGCCAGGCCCUCUGUCUCUUUGGAUCUGAAAAUGAAAAAUCUCCUGAUCGGUGUAUAAGUCUCCAGACAGUUGCCUACAAACUCCAGAAUCAUUUAUAUGCUUCCAUUGACCAAUUCGUAUAUGAUUUUCACAGAAUAUUCCACAGGUCAAAAGAUGAUAAUAAGGAGGAUCAUCAGAGCAGUGAAGUAAGCUCGAUGCUGUGUAAAAAAUUUGAUAAUCUCAUUGAAGAACAGUUCUGUGGCUUAAACCUCAAGUUUAUUUCUGGAUCAUAUUCGCAGAAUGCAGGUAUAUCAUGCACAAGAAAUAAUUUCCUUGAUCACCAUAAGAAACAUAAUAAAAAGAAUUCGUUUAAAGUUUCAAGCCCAAAAAAAUCUGAUGCGCCAAAUGUUGACACUACAGUUAAAUAAUAUGUAACAUGCUUUCAUUUUGCUGGUUUUUGUAAUCAUUGUAAAUGUGAGCAUUUUGUUGAUGUACUUAAAAAGUGAUAUAUUUUCCAGUAUAUUUCCAUCCACAUACAACAAUUCUUUUAUGAAGGUGGAAAAAAAGUUCACAUCGAGCUAGAUAUUAUAAUUCCUCUUCAUAAAUGUUCCCAAAAUUAUGUAAGGCAUUAUUAUGUACCAUAUGUUUUCAGCUCCCACUGUUGUUUGAUUACAGCACUUAGGAAUUUGUUCAUAAUGUAAUGAAAUAUUCAGUGAUAAAUGUCCAAAUAUAUGUUAAGUAUUACAGAUUUUUAUUUAAACUAUGUAAGAAAAAAAUGACUGAAUGGUUUAAUACAUAAAUAAAAUAGAUAUAUAAUACUAUGCUAAGGACUGUCAAUAUUACAAUUUAAAAACAUCUUUUCAUCCAGAUACAAGAAUUCAGCUACAAAAGUGGGAAUAAUGUUGACAUUGAGCUACAUAUACCAGUUUUAAUUGACCCAAAAUUAAGCAUUAUAAUGUCCCACAUGUUUACAACUUCCUGUAUUGUUUGACUACUUAGUUAGAAAUAAUCUGUAAUCCAAUGUACAUUCAGUUAUAAAUGUCAAAAUGUAUGCUAUAUAUUAUAACUGUUCAUUCAAACUAUGCAAAAGAAAAUGAUUCAGACAAUGUCAAACUGCUUACUUAAUGUCUAAUGCUAUGAGGGAAGGUACUGGCAUCAUAAUUUUGACAAUAGUUCUAUAUUUUGUGAAAACUUAAAUUUAGUUUUCUGAACUUGUUUCACAAUGUGUUUGAUAUGUACAUAUUUUCAGUCAGUUGAAGUUACAGCUGUGAUUUAAGUUACACAUUUCACAAAUAGUUUUCCGAUUGUUUCAGUGUUGCCAAUCAUGUUAAAGUGUUUGAUUCUAUGGUUAAUGUAUUGAAGAUUUCUGAUUAAAAAAAAUUGAAAAUUACUUGUAAUUGAUAAAAAAUGAAAAUAUUUUUCAA